rnacentral:lncRNA from 1 species
AUGAUUUUUGUGCAUAAUUUUUUUAGAACAUUUGAACGUAUAUAUUUUACAUAUACCUCUUUUAAAAUGUUACUAAAAUCAGUCACUGUAACAAACAUUGCGAGUUAUAUUUUCAUAUACAUUUUUUUCUUCUACCCUUACAAAACAGAACAAAUCCCUUUUGUCCAAUGUGGCAAAGUUUUCAGUUACAAGCACACAUGGAAUCUACAUCCCUUUGUGAUAUUGUGACCAAAUUUUAGCAAAUGAAAUCUAAGCAGAUGUAACUAGGUAUGGCUUCUAGGCAAGCUAUUUCAAACAUGGAAAUUCUGCUGGUGUGCCCACAUAACCUUUUGCUUCUGUCUCUGUUCCCUGCCUGGAACACAGUCAUGACGCUGAGGGGCAGCCAGCACCUUGCAACCAUGACAUGGAAAGGCACAGUCUAAGGAGAGGGAAGCAGCAGGAGGGAAGCAGCCCGGACUGCUGCAGGCAUUGCAGGGCUGCCCUGGGCUCCAGAACUUUCUGUUUCAGAAAAAUAAACUUCUUUCUCAUUUAAGCAAUUGUCUGUCACAUUUCCUUUUAAUUAAUCGAGUCACAUUUACAAACAUUUCCCAUCAUUUUUAUCGUGCAAAGAGUUGACUGUAUUUUAGACUUAUUCUUAUACUUUAUUGUAUAUCACCCCAAACCCUUCUUGGCAAUAGGUAUAUUGUAUAUUAAUCAAUAAAAAUAUAUGUAUUUAAAAGCAUAAUAAACACCCAAGAAUCCACCCCUAGUUCUUUUGAAUCUGAACAGAUAUUUG